AUGACCAUGUUUUCGUUCGGCAUCCCCUCCAUGCCAUUGCCAGCACACACUAGCCGACCCCAGAGCAACGCCAUGGCCGCAGCGAGCUUCCUCUUCCUAACCAUCCUUGCUGCAGCCACCACCACCCCCACCGCCAAAGCGACUGGAAUAUCCAAGUCCAACGGAAGCUGCAUCCCGGCCGAGAGGGCCGCACUACUCUCCUUCAAGGCCGACAUCACAGGCGACCCGGACAAUCGCCUCGUCUCAUGGCAGCAAGGACGACACGACUGCUGCCAGUGGAGCGGCGUCACCUGCAGCCGCCGGACAGGCCACAUCCUCAAGCUCGACCUCCGCAAUUAUUUUCCAGUUCCAACAAGUGAAAGUUCCCCUGGUGUCGAUGGUUACCUUGAAGACCACUCGCUACGUGGACAGUCUCUCCGGCGGCGGUUUGUCUGCAUCAGGCUCGGGUGA
rnacentral:rRNA from 1 species